rnacentral:rRNA from 1 species
UACGAAGGGGGCUAGCGUUGUUCGGAUUUACUGGGCGUAAAGCGCACGUAGGCGGAUUGUUAAGUCGGGGGUGAAAUCCUGGAGCUCAACUCCAGAACUGCCUUCGAUACUGGCAAUCUCGAGUCCGGAAGAGGUAAGUGGAACUCCUAGUGUAGAGGUGGAAUUCGUAGAUAUUAGGAAGAACACCAGUGGCGAAGGCGGCUUACUGGUCCGGUACUGACGCUGAGGCACGAAAGCGUGGGGAUCAAACAGG